rnacentral:lncRNA from 1 species
UUCGUAUACUCCAAGGUACUACGAAUUACAACAUUCAUACUUGUCUAUCUCUUGCCAUUUCAAAAACAAUUAACUUAGCUUGUUAUUUCUGCAGAUGCAUUCCAAGAUGGAUAGUUCAUUGAUCCUUGCACUGGGUUGUGAAAUUUAUGUUUUAUAUAAGUAUUUUUUCGUAUCUUAUUCAUGUUGAAUAAAUUAGCAGAAAGAUGUAUCACUCUGUUUGAAAACCAUUUUACUGUAUUUUAUCGUUACCAUACCUACAAUGUUUGUUUUGAUUGUUAUUGUAUUUAUCUCUC